UUCCAUUACCACACAUCUAAUUUACAAUAUUCCUAUCAAUAUUACAAUUCAUAAUUCAAUAAAAAAACAUCCAAUAUACAAUUUUAACCAUAUUUCGACUACAUAACUCAGUCCAUAAUAGACUUCAAAUUGCAUAUCCUUGUUUUUUAAACAACAUAGUUUACAUAACUCAACAUAAAAAAUGUAAUAAAUCUUUAUUGAGAGAAAGUAAUGAAUGCCCUUUUUUUACCAACGCCACACCAAGACCAUUCAAUUUG
rnacentral:lncRNA from 1 species